rnacentral:rRNA from 2 species
AACGUACGCUGGCGGCACGCCUAACACAUGCAAGUCGAACGAAGUAGCAAUACUUAGUGGCAGACGGGUGAGUAACAUGUGGGUAUCUACCCUUUGGCCUGGAAUAACACGAGGAAACUUGUGCUAAUACCGGAUAAGUCUUUACGGAGAAAGCUUUAUGCACCAUUGGAUGAGCCCGCACUUGAUUAGUUUGUUGGUAGGGUAAUGGCCUACCAAGACUAUGAUCAAUAGCUGAUUUGAGAGGAUGAUCAGCCACAUUGGGACUGAGACACGGCCCAAACUCCUACGGGAGGCAGCAGUGGGGAAUCUUGCACAAUGGAGGAAACUCUGAUGCAGCGAUGCCGCGUGAGUGAAGAAGGCCUUUGGGUUGUAAAGCUCUUUCGUCGGGGAAGAAAAUGACUGUACCCGAAUAAGAAGGUCCGGCUAACUUCGUGCCAGCAGCCGCGGUAAUACGAAGGGACCUAGCGUAGUUCGGAAUUACUGGGCUUAAAGAGUUCGUAGGUGGUUGAAAAAGUUGGUGGUGAAAUCCCAGAGCUUAACUCUGGAACUGCCAUCAAAACUUUUCAGCUAGAGUAUGAUAGAGGAAAGCAGAAUUUCUAGUGUAGAGGUGAAAUUCGUAGAUAUUAGAAAGAAUACCAAUUGCGAAGGCAGCUUUCUGGAUCAUUACUGACACUGAG